rnacentral:rRNA from 1 species
UGCCAGCAGCCGCGGUAAUACGGAGGGGGCUAACGUUGUUCGGAAUUACUGGGCGUAAAGCGCGCGUAGGCGGAUUAGACAGUUGAGGGUGAAAUCCCGGAGCUUAACUCCGGAACUGCCUUCAAUACUACUAAUCUUGAGUUCGGAAGAGGUGAGUGGAAUUCCUAGUGUAGAGGUGAAAUUCGUAGAUAUUAGGAAGAACAUCAGUGGCGAAGGCGACUCACUGGUCCGAUACUGACGCUGAGAGACGACAGCUAGGGGAGCAAAUGGGAUUAGAUA